GACGAACGCUGGCGGCGUGCCUAAUACAUGCAAGUUGAGCGAUGAAGAUUGGUGCUUGCACCAAUUUGAAGAGCAGCGAACGGGUGAGUAACGCGUGGGGAAUCUGCCUUUGAGCGGGGGACAACAUUUGGAAACGAAUGCUAAUACCGCAUAACAACUUUAAACAUAAGUUUUAAGUUUGAAAGAUGCAAUUGCAUCACUCAAAGAUGAUCCCGCGUUGUAUUAGCUAGUUGGUGAGGUAAAGGCUCACCAAGGCGAUGAUACAUAGCCGACCUGAGAGGGUGAUCGGCCACAUUGGGACCGAGACACGGCCCAAACUCCUACGGGAGGCAGCAGUAGGGAAUCUUCGGCAAUGGACGAAAGUCUGACCGAGCAACGCCGCGUGAGUGAAGAAGGUUUUCGGAUCGUAAAACUCUGUUGGUAGAGAAGAACGUUGGUGAGAGUGGAAAGCUCAUCAAGUGACGGUAACUACACAGAAAGGGACGGCUAACUACGUG
rnacentral:rRNA from 1 species